rnacentral:rRNA from 1 species
GACGAACGCUGGCGGCGUGCCUAAUACAUGCAAGUCGAACGCAGUGGGGACGGGUGAGUAACACGUGGGUAACCUCCCAUCAGAGGGGAUAACACUUGGAAACAGGUGCUAAACCGAUACUGAUGGAUGGUCCCGCAGCCUAUCAGCUAGUUGGUGAGGUAACGGCUCACCAAGGCCACGAUGCAUAGCGGACCUGAGAGGGUGAUCGGCAACACUGGGACUGAGACACGGCCCAGACUCCUAUGGGAGGCAGCAGUAGGGAAUCUUCGGCAAUGGACGAAAGUCUGACCGAGCAACGACGCGUGAGUGAAGAAGGUUUUCGGAUCGUAAAACUCUGUUGUUAGAGAAGCGGUAUCUAACCAGAAAGCCACGGCUAACUACGUGCCAGCCGCCGCGGUAAUUC